rnacentral:lncRNA from 1 species
CAGGUGUGGUCAGCCUUGUGUAUCCAGGGGUCUGGUCGGAGGGCUGUGGGGUGUAGGUGAUCCUAACCCUAACCCUAACCCUCUGAUGAGGCAUGCCCCGGGGGAGCAUUUUUGAGUCUGCACAACUUGUGUUUGCAAACUGCUUUGGGCAGCUCAGUGUCGUGGGUUGUGCACACAGGCUUAGCCUGACUCCCUGGGUUCAAACUGGAUGCCUGGGUGCAGGCAUCUGUUUCUGCAUGUGGAACAUUGAGAUGAUAAUCACAUGCUCCUUGGAGCCUUGUGGUGAAGAUGAAAGGAAUGAAUGAAUGCAAAGCUCCUAGAAUGGUGCCCGGCACACGCAGAGCUCUUCUCAACUGCUCCUCCAGAUGGGUGGGGCAAGUCAUCUCUAUGUUAUCAACAAGACCAUGGCAGCCAGGAGAAGCCAAGUCCUACCUUACCUUUGCAGGGUGGACUUGGGCUCUGUGGAGGGGGGAAGGCUUGGGAAGGAGAGGUGGGAUUCUGAUAGGAAGAAAGGCAGAAGAGAGUUCAAAGAGAGAAAACAUCAGUGGCUUUUGCUUUCAGCUGGAUGGGGGCUCCACGCUGGAGAGAAGUUCACCCCUGCUCAGAGCUGUGCUCCUGUGGUUUGUUGUGCCCAGUCAUGGGAAAGCUGGGAAAGGAACAUGCUUAGCAAAUUAGACGACCUUUGGCUUGAGGCCAGGCUGGGGGGCGGGUGGCCACCGGCAGAGCUCCUCCCCCAUCCAUCGGCUGCAGGCCCUCUCACCUGCACAUCAGGGACAAGAAAGCAGCCCCUUGCUGGGCAGGAGCACCCUGCAGGCUGGAGACAGGAGCACAGAGCCCUGGGACCAGGCUCUGCAGCUGCACCAACAGAGGAACUCUGUUUUUAAGAGUUUUGAGAGAAGGAAGCUGGGAAGGGGGUAGCAGAGAGGAACUCAGAGAACGUUCUGAGGGAGGUUUACCAUCUCCCUCACUAGACGGCAACUGUCCAAAUGACAGGAGUCAUUCUCCACCAAAUUCAUUGUUAAGUCCUUCAACACUUCACAGGAAGUCUGGCAUGAUUUCUUGGUUGAAAGAAUAAGCAAAACCUACGUGGGGGUGGGGGUGCACAGAUGCUUUUCAAUGUGC